rnacentral:lncRNA from 1 species
CACCUCGUCCGCGAGCUUCGCCGACGUCCACUCCUUCGACUACGUCCACCAGUUGGAGCCGGGAGCCCCUGGAUCGCAGGGAUCGACGUCGUCUUCAACCUCCAACCACCGCGACGCCAUCGACGAAUUCGUCGCCGUCGCUCCACCCCCGGCCUUCUCGAUCUCGCCUACGACACCGCGGUGAGGUACUCACUCGAUUCCCGCUCUUCCCUGCUCGACCCAUGCCUAUAGCCGUCGUUCCCCACAGAACUUUGGCCGCCGUUAGUCCUCAUGGCCUCUUGCUUCGACCACCUCCACUGCUGCGCUACUGCUGCUACUGUCGCGCAGGCUCAUUCGCUACUACAGCCUGCGCUCCCGCGCGUGCCCACCCAUGGCCUCGCCUCCGCCUACCGCCGCUCACCCGCUGCCGUGCGUCCGCCUCGCCUGACCGCGUCGGCCGUGGCCGCCAUCGCCGUCCACGCGCGCGACACCGCGCCUGGCGCUGUUCGUUCGCACCGGCCACGCCCCCAGGCUCCCCUGCCCGCGCUGCCCUGUCACCCGCACCUGCCAGCCUCUCCCAUCCGCCUGGCCAUGCUCGCCCGCGCCGCUCGAGCUUGCUGCACGCGCGCUCGCCGACGCUGCCGCCGCCCCUGCUAGUCCUGCGCGCGCCCGCUGGAACCCUUGCCGCCGCCUCCGCCUGCAGCUAGCUCCGGCAACGCGGCCCGGGCCGCAUCCGGCCGUGCGCGGCGUUGACUGGCCGUCUCCGCUCCAUGUCGAUAACUGCUGCUGCUCUGAACGUACUGCUGCUGCUGAAUGCUACUGUAACUAUGGCUAGCUUUGCGAAUAUUAGGCUGACUAACCCCCUUGACAGCCUCUAAUCAGCGGGUAAACAAUUACUAAUAGGCCAAGAAAAAUUAUGAGUAGAAAGUAUACUUGACAAACUUCAUUUUAUUCCAUUGGACCAAAUCCUUUCGAUGAACGGAUUAAAUCGUACGAAAAUCACAAAAGGCUAUCUUCUAUUAACAAAGAACAUAAUUAACCCCUAGUUGUGUGUGCGCGUGUGUGUUCUGUGUUUGUGAGGCCGGCCCCAUGUUCAAUUAGUUUAGGGUUAAUUAGUAUGUAGGUUAGCUACUAGCAGAUGACAUGUGGACCCCAUUAAUUAGGUUAGUAUUUAUUUAUUUGUUUAGGUAUAGCCUAUGACAUGUGGGAUCCACUUUUACUAUUCAUGUGUUGACCAGUCAAAUGUUGACUGGUUCAACCCAGCCCCACUGGCCCCACUUGCCACACAAUAGACUAGGAAACUCAUGGGUACACUUAGUAUAUUCUGUUUUAAUUUCGAAAUAUAAUUAAAUCCAAAAAAUUUAGAAAAUCAUUUAAACUUCGGAAAAUCAUAUAAAAUAAUCCGUAAUUCGGAUGAAAAUACUUUAUACAUGAAAGUUGCUCAGAACGAUGAGACGGAUCCGAAUACACGGUCCGUUGAUCAGCCACACGUCCCUAGCAUAGCGAACAUGCAACUUUCACUGUCCAGUCCUACUAUCCGAAAACGUGAAACAUCGGUAAUACUUUCCCGGAUGUUUCCCCCCUUCGCCGGUAUCACCUAUUCCUGCGUUAGGUCACCCCUAGCACAACGUAUUGCUGCGUCUUGCUUUGUGUUACAUUUGAUUGCUCUGUUAUUUAUAGUGUUCCCCCUCCGUUACUUCUUUUCGGUUGGCUCCGAGACCGUUGCCGAUACCCCUGUGAUCGACUACAUCGACGACGACCCCUUCUUCUUGCUAGAGCAACCAGGCAAGCCCCCCCCCCUUGAUCACCAGAUAUCGCAUAUUCUCUUCUACACUGCUUGAAUUAGAGUAGUAUAGCAUGUUACUGCUUUCUGUUUAUCCUAUCCUGAUGCAUAGCCUGCCCUUGUUACUACUGUUGUUACCUUUACCUGCUAUCCUACAUGCUUAGUUUAUGAUGCUAGUAUUCCAUCUAUGGCCCUACAUUCUUGUCCGUCUGCUGUGCUAUACUAUCGGGCCGUGAUCACUCGGGUGGUGAUCACGGGUAUAUACUAUAUACUUAUACAUGACACAUGUGGUGACUAAAGUCGGGUCCGCUCGUUGAGUACCCGCAAGUGAUUCUGAUGAGGGGGCUGAAAGGACAGGUGGCUCCAUCCCGGUAGAGGUGGGCCUGGGUUCCCGACGGCCCUCGACGGUUACUUUGAGGCGGAGCGACAGGGCAGGUUGAGACCACCUAGGAGAGAGGUGGGCCUGGCCCUGGUCGGCAUUCGCAAAUACUUAACACGUUUAAUGAGAUCUUGAUAUUUGACCUGAGUCUGGCUACUGGCCUAUACGCACUAACCAUCUACGCGGGGACAGUUAUGGGCACUCGACGUCGUGGUAUCAGCCGAAGCCUUCGUGGCGUCAGCGACUGAGCGGCGCGAGCCGGGUUGGACCGCGUAACGUGACUUCCUUUGUAAUGGAGGUUGCUAGGUCUGCUCUCCGGCCGCGUACGCAAUGUGCAGGUGUGCUAUGGGCAAUGGGCCCAGAUCCCUGUGCGCUUAGGUUUAGACCGGCGUGCUGGCCUCUCUGUUGUGCCUAGGUGGGGCUGCGACGUGUUGAUCUUCCGAGGCCGGGCAUGACCCAGGAAAGUGUGUCCGGCCAAAUGGGAUCGAGCGUGUUGGGUUAUGUGGUGCACCCCUGCAGGGAAGUUAAUCUAUUCGAAUAGCCGUGAUCUUCGGUAACAUGACGACUUGGAGUUGUACCUUGACCUUAUGACAACUAGAACUGGAUACUUAAUAAAACACACCCUUCCAAGUGCCAGAUACAACCGAUGAUCGCUCUCUCACAGGGCGACGAGGGGAGGAUCAUCGGUUAGGAUUAUGCUAUACGAUGCUACUUGGAGGUCUUUAGUCUACUCUCUUCUACAUGCUGCAAGACGAGGCUGCCAGAAGCGUAGUCUUCGAAAGGACUAGCUAUCCCCCUUAUCCCGGCUUUCUGCAGUUCAGUCCACAUAUAAUAGCCUUAUUCCAGUUGAUACCUGAUAUGACCAACACCAAAUUUAUUUGUAUCAACGACCACCACGAUGUAGAAGACGUUGGUCUAUGUCAAGUUAUGGCAGCUUCACUUGAUAACAGGAUGCAUCCUAAUCAGGAGAAUAUUAAGGUUCAACCAGAGUCAACGGUUGGUGUUGUGCCAAAAUAUGGGAUGCACGCUAUGGAAGGGAAGAACUCCUUCACAUGCACGUUUGAAGGUUUGCAACAACUUGAUUGUUUGUUUAUGUUGUCACGUGCAGAGCAAGACCCAGCUGUAUGUGUACGAGAGAUAUAUUUUAUUGAGACUAAGCAAAGAAUCCUAAUCAGCUACUACUUCUCCCGAUCAAGACCGCCAGAGCAAGCGUACGCCAGCAUGUUUGAUCGGUGGAAAUUGCUUUCCUUGAGAGACAUUGGAUGGGGGCCACCCAAUAAUUUGUAUUUAAUAAUUUUAGUAUUUAAUGUGUAAUGAAUACCUGCUAAAAUAAAGCACGUAAUCAGAUUUGGUUUUAGUUGUUGGGUCGAUAGUUAGAGACAGGGAGAAUAUUUUGUACGGUCAACUUAUUAGGCAAGUUAGAGCUGGAUAGCUAUUCUACUAUAUAUAGUCUUGAUACGGUCAUUGUAAGAGGAGGUUAUAUUUUUAUGAAAUAGACACGAUGUGUUUUUCAGGGUAGACACCCGUAUCAAGUUUUGGAGGGACCUUUAGAAAACCUCUGUGUUGCGAUUUCUCUUCGUGGAAAUUGUUUUGCGCGUGAGUACCUUCGUCAAGAUUGGUUUUCUCGUGCUGGGCCGCAAGGUUCAAACCCUCUACUUCGUGUACAUCGCGUGCGCGGGCAAGAGGUUGCUACUGCUGGUGGUGGAGUGUCGUGAAAGGUCGGGCCGCAACAACGGAUCGGAUCUCGCCAAUGAGGUUCGGUCUUAUAUCAGGUGGUAUUCAGAGCAUCAGGUUGUUCACGGCACUAUGGAGAAGAUGGCGAGCGCGUCGUUAUUCAGUAAGUUAAGCUAUGAAUUUCAGUUGGAGGAGGAAGGCCGUUGGACUGGUCUUUUUCACACCCGUGUGGUGGUGAGAGAGAGAUCAUGUGCCAUGACCAUUGAUCACAAGAAUUUGAUCAACGCCGCAAGCAUCGAGAUGGUGGAGAAGUUGGAUCUACCGAUUGCACCAAGAGCACAACCGUACUUGUUUCGUUGGGGUCAUGAAGAGCUCACUGUGACGCACCAAACCAAGGUGCCGUUUUUGUUGGGAAAUUAUUUUUGCGAGGUUUUAUGCGACGUGAUUCCGACAACUAUGAUUUCAUGUCACUUGUUAUUGGGCGAGCCAUGGUAUAAAGAGCAUGAUGUUACGUAUGAUUGCAAAACACAUAGAUAUACUAUCAAGAAGGGUAAGAAGUGUAGCCUCGUGCCAAUGGGUGAGAAGCGUUUUAUUUCUUGGAGGAAAGAACAUCUUGAGAAGAUAAAAGAGCAGGAAGAAGAAGAGAAGAAGGUCGAAGUUGCUGAAAUUUUUGCGGUUGUUAUUCAAUCAAGUGAGGAAGAGGUCAACUCAAAACCGAAGACGGUUUCGAUGCAAGGAGGAGAGGAUGAUAUGACCAACACCAAAUUUAUUUGUAUCAACGACCACCACGAUGUAGAAGACGUUGGUCUAUGUCAAGUUAUGGCAGCUUCACUUGAUAACAGGAUGCAUCCUAAUCAGGAGAAUAUUAAGGUUCAACCAGAGUCAACGGUUGGUGUUGUGCCAAAAUAUGGGAUGCACGCUAUGGAAGGGAAGAACUCCUUCACAUGCACGUUUGAAGGUUUGCAACAACUUGAUUGUUUGUUUAUGUUGUCACGUGCAGAGCAAGACCCAGCUGUAUGUGUACGAGAGAUAUAUUUUAUUGAGACUAAGCAAAGAAUCCUAAUCAGCUACUACUUCUCCCGAUCAAGACCGCCAGAGCAAGCGUACGCCAGCAUGUUUGAUCGGUGGAAAUUGCUUUCCUUGAGAGACAUUGGAUGGGGGCCACCCAAUAAUUUGUAUUUAAUAAUUUUAGUAUUUAAUGUGUAAUGAAUACCUGCUAAAAUAAAGCACGUAAUCAGAUUUGGUUUUAGUUGUUGGGUCGAUAGUUAGAGACAGGGAGAAUAUUUUGUACGGUCAACUUAUUAGGCAAGUUAGAGCUGGAUAGCUAUUCUACUAUAUAUAGUCUUGAUACGGUCAUUGUAAGAGGAGGUUAUAUUUUUAUGAAAUAGACACGAUGUGUUUUUCAGGGUAGACACCCGUAUCAAGUUUUGGAGGGACCUUUAGAAAACCUCUGUGUUGCGAUUUCUCUUCGUGGAAAUUGUUUUGCGCGUGAGUACCUUCGUCAAGAUUGGUUUUCUCGUG